UCCCUGGUGGCUCAGAUGGUAAAGCAUCUGCCUACAAUGCAGGAAACCCAGGUUCAAUCCCCGGGUUGGGAA
rnacentral:tRNA from 1 species